AGAAGAAGAAGAAGAAGAAAAGAACUCUACAAGAUAAAGGGAUUUCAAAAAAAAAAACAGAAACUAGGGUCAAAUACAGUUCAAUUGAACCGAAUUCCUCAUUUUGGAUGAUUUUCAAGCAGACCACAAAGCUACUAGUAGAAAAGGCACAUAGAAUUGCUAAUCAGAAAAAUGCACAGUGAGGUGUACCUAUCCAAAAUGCAAUUUUAGUCUACUUUUAUUCAACUGAUUAUGCAAUUCAAUUCAUAUGUUUAAUAACAAUAUAUUUUAUGAUGACACAUUCAGUUAAAUUUACUGAAUGAAGGGGAGAACAAAAAGAAGAAGAAGAAGAAG
rnacentral:misc_RNA from 1 species